CAACAACAACAACAACAACAACAGCAGCGGUGGAGGUGGACAGGUGGAGGUGGGGAGGGAAAGGCCAAAACGUCAAGCUACAGGCAGUCAAAACAAGUGACCACAGGGGAUGUGACUGUCGCGGAUGGAGACUUAUGACGAUGCACAAAAAGAUAACCAGGAAGCUCUCCUUGGACCCUGGGAGGAUUAGAUAUCUCCUGCCAUUUGUCGCCUAGUCUCCCAUCUUCCCAUUGCUCAAGCUGCCAACAUCUCCUCGGCGUAACCUUCCAUCAACUUAUGGGGCCAGGUCAUUUUGGAUAAAGAGGGAUGAGAAUGUGGUCACUUUACCUCCCUGCAAACUUGCUGUCAUCCCCGUGGAAAACUGAUUCCUUGGCUGCCUGCGACCAAUGAAACAACCAGGAACAGCUCUGAUAACCUCCUUCAUCCACAUUGUGGUCUUUCUUUCACCAUCCAUUACAAGUGUGUGACAGGUUCCAGACGGGUUGAGAGGGGAGAACAAUGUGUUGUGACCCUCAGUCCUGCCCUCCAGCUCAGCGCCUGGUUCCAACUCCUACUCCCAGCAGGCCGUGGGGGGCCUGGCCGCCGCCCUUCUACCCAGCUCCCUCUCCACCCCUCCUCCACCACCAGAAUCAAUCGCUCUGCGACACCAUACAAACGAUCCACUGAUGUCCAUGCAUCACAGUACAAUGCACGACCAACAACCAGCAAUUUGUGUAGGACUGAGAGAGAGGGAGCGAGACUAAGAUGGAGAGUUAUUACAGUAACAUGGACAAAUGGAGUGAGGCAUCCCACACGAAGGAGGCCAUAUAAAGUCCAACCCACCUGGUGAUGAACCUGAUCUCUCUGAAAUAGGCUCCUGUCUAA